AACUGAAGACAGGCGCCCGUAGCUCAACGGAUAGAGCAUCUGACUACGGAUCAGAAGGUUGGGGGUUCGAAUC
rnacentral:tRNA from 1 species